UACGGGAGGCAGCAGUGGGGAAUAUUGGACAAUGGGCGAAAGCCUCUAGGUCGGUAGCCGCGUGUGUGAAGAAGGCCUUUUGGUUGUAAAGCACUUUAAGCGAGGAGGAGGCUACUUGGAUUAAUACUCUAGGAUAGUGGACGUUACUCGCAGAAUAAGCACCGGCUAACUCUGUGCCAGCAGCCGCGGUAAUACAGAGGGUGCGAGCGUUAAUCGGAUUUACUGGGCGUAAAGCGUGCGUAGGCGGCUUUUUAAGUCGGAUGUGAAAUCCCUGAGCUUAACUUAGGAAUUGCAUUCGAUACUGGGAAGCUAGAGUAUGGGAGAGGAUGGUAGAAUUCCAGGUGUAGCGGUGAAAUGCGUAGAGAUCUGGAGGAAUACCGAUGGCGAAGGCAGCUUCCUGGCCUAAUACUGACGCUGAGGUACGAAAGCAUGGGGAGCAAACAGGAUUAGAUACCCUGGUAGUCCACGCCGUAAACGAUGUCUACUAGCCGUUGGGAGCCUUGAACUUUAGUGGCGCAGUUAACGCGAUAAGUAGACCGCCUGGGGAGUACGGCCGCAAGGUUAAAACUCAAAUGAAUUGACGGGGGCCCGCACAAGCGGUGGAGCAUGUGGUUUAAUUCGAUGCAACGCGAAGAACCUUACCUGGUCUUGACAUAGUAAGAACUUUCCAGAGAUGGAUUGGUGCCUUCGGGAACUUACAUACAGGUGCUGCAUGGCUGUCGUCAGCUCGUGUCGUGAGAUGUUGGGUUAAGUCCCGCAACGAGCGCAACCCAUUUCCUUACUUGCCAGCGGGUUAAGCCGGGAACUUUAAGGAUACUGCCAGUGACAAACUGGAGGAAGGCGGGGACGACGUCAAGUCAUCAUGGCCCUUACGACCAGGGCUACACACGUGCUACAAUGGUAGGUACAGAGGGCAGCUACACAGCGAUGUGAUGCGAAUCUCAAAAAGCCUAUCGUAGUCCAGAUUGGAGUCUGCAACUCGACUCCAUGAAGUAGGAAUCGCUAGUAAUCGCGGAUCAGAAUGCCGCGGUGAAUACGUUCCCGGGCCUUG
rnacentral:rRNA from 1 species